UACGGGGGGGGCAAGCGUUGUUCGGAAUUACUGGGCGGAAAGGGCUCGUAGGCGGCCAACUAAGUCGGACGUGAAAUCCCCAGGCUCAACCUGGGAACUGCGUCCGAUACUGGAUGGCUUGAAUUCGGGAGAGGGAUGCAGAAUUCCAGGUGUAGCGGUGAAAUGCGUAGAUAUCUGGAGGAAUACCGGUGGCGAAGGCGGCAUCCUGGACCGACAUUGACGCUGAUGAGCGAAAGCCAGGGGAGCGAACGGG
rnacentral:rRNA from 1 species